rnacentral:rRNA from 1 species
GAGAACUUUACAAUGCGGGAAACCGUGAUAAGGGAUAUCUCGAGUGCCAGCAUAUAAAGGACGUGUCCAGAUGCUUAAAAAGCAUUUGUUAGGAAGGAGCGGGGAAGACCGGGGCCAGCCGCCGCGGUAACACCGGCGGCCCGAGGGGUAACCGUUAUUUUUUUGCCCACUGAAGGCUGUAGCCGGCCAAGUAAGUCCUUUGGGAAAUCUGGUAGCUCAACUAUCAGGCUGCCAGGGGAUACUGCUUGGCUUGGGACCGGGAGAGGUGAGAGGUACCUCAGGGGUAGGGGUGAAAUCUUGUGAUCCUUGAGGGACCACCAGUGGCGAAGGCGUCUCACCAAAACGGGUCCAACGGUAAGGGACAAAAGCUAGGGGCACAAACCGGUUUUUAUACCCGG